GACCAUGUCUGGUGGGUAGUUUGACUGGGGCGGUCUCCUCCUAAAGAGUAACGGAGGAGUACGAAGGUGCGCUCAGCGUGGUCGGAAAUCACGCGUAGAGUAUAAAGGCAAAAGCGCGCUUAACUGCGAGACCCACAAGUCGAGCAGGUACGAAAGUAGGUCUUAGUGAUCCGGUGGUUCUGUAUGGAAGGGCCAUCGCUCAACGGAUAAAAGGUACUCUGGGGAUAACAGGCUGAUACCGCCCAAGAGUUCAUAUCGACGGCGGUGUUUGGCACCUCGAUGUCGGCUCAUCUCAUCCUGGGGCUGAAGCAGGUCCCAAGGGUAUGGCUGUUCGCCAUUUAAAGAGGUACGCGAGCUGGGUUUAGAACGUCGUGAGACAGUUCGGUCCCUAUCUACCGUGGGCGCUGGAAAUUUGAGAGGAUCUGCUCCUAGUACGAGAGGACCAGAGUGGACGAACCUCUGGUGUACCGGUUGUGACGCCAGUCGCAUCGCCGGGUAGCUAUGUUCGGAAGGGAUAACCGCUGAAAGCAUCUAAGCGGGAAGCCUACCUCAAGAUAAGAUUUCCCCGAGACUUUAUGUCUCCUAAAGAGCCGUUGAAGACUACGACGUUGAUAGGUUGGAUGUGGAAGUGCAGUGAUGCAUGAAGCUGACCAAUACUAAUUGCUCGUGAGGCUUGACUAUACAACACCCAAGCAGUUG
rnacentral:rRNA from 1 species